rnacentral:rRNA from 1 species
CCUACGGGAGGCAGCAGUGGGGAAUAUUGCACAAUGGGCGCAAGCCUGAUGCAGCAACGCCGCGUGAGGGAUGACGGCCUUCGGGUUGUAAACCUCUUUUAGUAGGGAAGAAGCGAAAGUGACGGUACCUGCAGAAAAAGCACCGGCUAACUACGUGCCAGCAGCCGCGGUAAU